GAUGAACGCUGGCGGCGUGCCUAAUACAUGCAAGUCGAGCGAUGCGGGGACGGGUGAGUAACACGUGGAUAACCUCCUUUAAGACUGGGAUAACUUCGGGAAACCCGAGCUAAACCUGAUACUUAUGUAUGGAUCCGCGCUGCAUUAGCUGUUUGGUAAGGUAACGGCUUACCAAGGCAACGAUGCAUAGCCGACCUGAGAGGGUGAUCGGCCACACUGGAACUGAGAAACGGUCCAGACUCCUACGGGAGGCAGCAGUAGGGAAUCUUCCGCAAUGGGCGAAAGCCUGACGGAGCAACGCCGCGUGAGUGAAGAAGGUUUUCGGAUCGUAAAACUCUGUUAUUAGGGAAGCGGUACCUAAUCAGAAAGCCACGGCUAACUACGUGCCAGCAGCCGCGGUAAUAC
rnacentral:rRNA from 1 species